GACGAACGCUGGCGGCGUGCCUAAUACAUGCAAGUAGAACGCUGAAGCGAGGAGCUUGCUCUUCUUGGCUGAGUUGCGAACGGGUGAGUAACGCGUAGGUAACCUGCCUGGUAGCGGGGGAUAACUAUUGGAAACGAUAGCUAAUACCGCAUAAAAUUGAUUAUUGCAUGAUAAUUAAUUGAAAGAUGCAACUGCAUCACUACCAGAUGGACCUGCGUUGUAUUAGCUAGUUGGUGAGGUAACGGCUCACCAAGGCGACGAUACAUAGCCGACCUGAGAGGGUGGUCAGCCACACUGGGACUGAGACACGGCCCAGACUCCUACGGGAGGCAGCAGGAGGGAAUCUUCGGCAAUGGGGGGAACCCUGACCGAGCAACGCCGCGUGAGUGAAGAAGGUUUUCGGAUCGUAAAGCUCGGUUGUAAGAGAAGAACGGGUGUGAGAGUGGAAAGUUCACACUGUGACGGUAUCCUACCAGAAAGGGACGGCUAACUACGUG
rnacentral:rRNA from 1 species